UACGUAGGCAGCGAGCGUUGUUCGGAGUUACUGGGCGUAAAGGGUGUGUAGGCGGUUGUUUAAGUUUGGUGUGAAAUCUCCCGGCUCAACUGGGAGGGUGCGCCGAAUGCUGAAUGACUUGGAGUGCGGGAGAGGAGAGUGGAAUUCCUGGUGUAGCGGUGAAAUGCGUAGAUAUCUGGAGGAACACCGGUGGCGAAGGCGGCAUCCUGGACCGGCAUUGACGCUGAGGCGCGAAAGCCAGGGGAGCAAACGGG
rnacentral:rRNA from 1 species